AUAAAAGCUUUGAAGAGAAAGAGUAAAAUUAGCAGCGUUUUAAAGAGAGUUCCCGGGUGGUGAGAGGGGCAAAAUUAGUUGAUUUGAAUACAUCUCCGAGCUUCACUCCGAAAGAUAACAACCAGUAGGCAGUUGACGUUUUCUGCACACGUUAUAGUGCUAGAGUAUAACCCAAAACAAGUUUUUUGGAGUACUUGAAGAGUUUGUUAUUGUGAGGUAACAAUAAAUUAAGGUGGUAACACGUAAGUAAUGCUUUCGUCCUUUUA
rnacentral:ncRNA from 1 species